UGGGGAAUAUUGGGCAAUGGGCGCAAGCCUGACCCAGCAACGCCGCGUGAAGGAAGAAGGCCCUCGGGUUGUAAACUUCUUUUAUUCGGGACGAAACAAAUGACGGUACCGAAUGAAUAAGCCACGGCUAACUACGUGCCAGCAGCCGCGGUAAUACGUAGGUGGCAAGCGUUAUCCGGAUUUACUGGGUGUAAAGGGCGUGUAGGCGGGAGAGCAAGUCAGACGUGAAAUUCCAGGGCUCAACCCUGGAACUGCGUUUGAAACUGUUCUUCUUGAGUGAUGGAGAGGCAGGCGGAAUUCCGUGUGUAGCGGUGAAAUGCGUAGAUAUACGGAGGAACACCAGUGGCGAAGGCGGCCUGCUGGACAUUAACUGACGCUGAGGCGCGAAAGCGUGGGGAGCAAACAGG
rnacentral:rRNA from 1 species